rnacentral:rRNA from 1 species
AACAAACGCUGGCGGCGUGCCUAACACAUGCAAGUCGAACGUGAAAGGGGCUUCGGCCCUGAGUAAAGUGGCGCACGGGUGAGUAACGCGUGGAUAAUCUGCCCCUCAGUUGGGAAUAACCUACCGAAAGGUGGGCUAAUACCGAAUAAUGCUGUAUGACCCCGGUCUUACAGCCAAAGAGGGCCUCUGCUCGCAAGCUCUCGCUGAGGGAUGAGUCCGCGUACCAUUAGCUAGUUGGUAGGGUAAUGGCCUACCAAGGCGACGAUGGUUAGCUGGUCUGAGAGGAUGAUCAGCCACACUGGAACUGAGACACGGUCCAGACUCCUACGGGAGCAGCAGUGAGGAAUCUUGCGCAAUGGGGAACCCUGACGCAGCAACGCCGCGUGAGUGAGGAAGGCCUUCGGGUCGUAAAGCUCGUGUCGGGUGGGAAGAAAUGUAGUGGGUGCUAAUACCAUCCAUACUUGACGUACGCCAAGAGCACCGCCAC